rnacentral:rRNA from 1 species
UACGGAGGGUGCGAGCGUUGUCCGGAAUCACUGGGCGUAAAGGGCGCGUAGGCGGCUCAUGAAGGCUGUGGUGAAAGUCCGGGGCUCAACCUCGGAUCGGCCGUGGCGACUCGUGGGCUGGAGCACUGUAGAGGCGGGUGGAAUUCCGGGUGUAGCGGUGGAAUGCGUAGAGACCCGGAAGAACACCAGUGGCGAAGGCGGCCCGCUGGGCAGUGGCUGACGCUGAGGCGCGACAGCGUGGGGAGCAAACAGG